rnacentral:rRNA from 1 species
GAUGAACGCUAGCGGCAGGCCUAACACAUGCAAGUCGAGGGGUAGAAGGAGCUUGCUCCUUUGAGACCGGCGCACGGGUGCGUAACGCGUAUGCAAUCUACCUUGUACAGGGGAAUAGCCCAGAGAAAUUUGGAUUAAUGCCCCAUAGUAUAUAACCUUCGCAUGUUGGUUAUAUUAAAGUUCCAACGGUACAAGAUGAGCAUGCGUCCCAUUAGUUAGUUGGUAAGGUAACGGCUUACCAAGACGAUGAUGGGUAGGGGUCCUGAGAGGGAGAUCCCCCACACUGGUACUGAGACACGGACCAGACUCCUACGGGAGGCAGCAGUGAGGAAUAUUGGUCAAUGGUCGCAAGACUGAACCAGCCAUGCCGCGUGCAGGAAGACGGUCCUAGGGAUUGUAAACUGCUUUUAUACAGGAAGAAACCCUCCCACGUGUGGGAGCUUGACGGUACUGGAGGAAUAAGGAUCGGCUAACUCCGUG